UACGUAGGGCGCAAGCGUUAUCCGGAAUUAUUGGGCGUAAAGAGCUCGCAGGCGGCUUGUCGCGUCGGUUGUGAAAGCCCGGGGCUUAACUCCGGGUCUGCAGUCGAUACGGGCAGGCUAGAGUUCGGUAGGGGAGAUUGGAAUUCCUGGUGUAGCGGUGGAAUGCGCAGAUAUCAGGAGGAACACCGAUGGCGAAGGCAGAUCUCUGGGCCGUAACUGACGCUGAGGAGCGAAAGCAUGGGGAGCGAACAGG
rnacentral:rRNA from 1 species